rnacentral:misc_RNA from 1 species
AGAGUAUGCCAUGCCAAUUGCUCUUCAAUAGGUGGCUCUGUCAAGACAACUGGAACUGCUUCAGGAACAGUUUCUAGAGUAUCAAAACCUUCCGUAUUGCUUCUGUCUAUUGGUGUCGAUGCCUGAACAUAAAUAGGUUUCUGUGAUAGACCUAAAGCAGACAUAUUUGCCCCUAAUAUCUGCACAUCAGCUUGAAUGUCGGCAGAAAAACUAGAGUUGUCUGAUGUUACAUGGCUCAGCGUCUUCAGAAAGGAUAGAGGAGAUUCAAAAACUCUUGCAACUUUCUCGUCUGCACCGCCAACAAAACGAUGAUUUCCUUUUCCUUUGAUUACUGUGACACAAUUUAUGUCAUGACCAUGAACUUGAGGGCGAGCAAUUUCAUGCCA